GACGAACGCUGGCGGCGUGCUUAACACAUGCAAGUCGAACGGAAAGGCCCUGCUUUUGUGGGGUGCUCGAGUGGCGAACGGGUGAGUAACACGUGAGUAACCUGCCCUUGACUUUGGGAUAACUUCAGGAAACUGGGGCUAAUACAGGAUAGGAGCUCCUGCUGCAUGGUGGGGGUUGGAAAGUUUCGGCGGUUGGGGAUGGACGCGCGGCUUAUCAGCUUGUUGGUGGGGUAGUGGCUUACCAAGGCUUUGACGGGUAGCCGGCCUGAGAGGGUGACCGGCCACAGUGGGACUGAGAUACGGCCCAGACUCCUACGGGAGGCAGCAGUGGGGAAUAGUGCACAAUGGGCGGAAGCCUGAUGCAGCAACGCCGCGUGCGGGAUGACGGCCUUCGGGUUGUAAACCGCUUUCGCCUGUGACGAAGCGUGAGUGACGGUAAUGGGUAAAGAAGCACCGGCUAACUACGUG
rnacentral:rRNA from 1 species